rnacentral:lncRNA from 1 species
UAGAGAGGCUAUAUAGAGGCACCGGUUAGUCGGGCUGAUUGAGGUGGUAUGUACAUGUAGAUAUGGUUAAAGUGACUAUGCAUAUAUGAUAAACAGAGAGUAGCAGCAGCGUAAACGAGGGGUUGGGGGAGGGGACAGACAAUGCAAAAAGUCCGGGUAGCCAUUUGAUUACUUGUUCAGGAGUCUUAUGGCUUGGAGGUAAAAGCUGUUGAGAAGCCUUUUGGUCCUAGACUCUGCACUCCGGUACUGCUUGCCAUGUGGUAGCAGAGAGAACAGUCUAUGACUGGGGUGGCUGGGGGUCUUUGACCAUUUUUAGGGCCUUCCUCUGACACCGCCUGACAUGCACCGUCAACUGUGGGAUCUUAUAUAGACAGGUGUGUGCCUUUCCAAAUCAUGUCCAAUCAAUUGGAUUUACCACAGGUGGACCCCAAUCAAGUUGUAGAAACAUCUCAAGGAUGAUCAAUGGAAACAGGAGCGUCCUGACCUCAACUUCCAGUCUCAUAGCAAAGGGUCUGAAUACUUAUGUAAAUAAUGUAUUUCUGUUUUUUAUUUGUAAUACAUUUGCAAACAUUUCUAAAAACCUGUUUUCACUUAUGAGCUAUUAUGUGUAGAUUGAUAAGGAAAAACAUACAUUUAAUCAAUUUUAGAAUAAGGCUGUAAUGUAACAAAAUGUGGAAAAGGGGAAGGGGUCUGAAUACUUUAUGAAUGAACUGUAUAGAGGGGCAAGGUGACCAGUCAGUUUAGACUGAGGUUUGGUCAAACAGGCAAGGUGGCCAGUCAGUUUAGAGUGAGAACACCACACUACUAACAAGAUUCAUAAAGAAACAUACACUGCUCCAAGUCAAUCACACUUCUGUGAAAUCAAACUGUCCACUUAGGAAGCAACACUGAUUGACAAUACAUUUCACAUGCUGUUGUGCAAAUGGAAUAGACAACAGGUGGAAAUUAUAGGCAAUUAGCAAGACACCCCCAAUAAAGGAGUGGUUCUGC